rnacentral:rRNA from 1 species
AAACCAAAUGGCUGCAGUAACUAUGACUGUAUUAAUGUAGCAUAAUCAAUCGCCACUUAAUUAGUGGAUAGUAUGAAUGGUUUAACGAAAAUUCCCCUAUCUCAUAUAAUCAAUAGAAAAUUUAAAUCAUAGUCAAGAUGCUAUGUAAUAUUGUAAGACGAAAAGACCCUAUAAAGCUUAACUACAAUCUUUUAAAACUUAAAUAAACUAAAAAUAAAAUAAAAGACGGCUAGUUUCAUUGGGGCGAUGAUCUCUAAAAAAAAACAGAGACUAACGAUAUUAAUAAUUUUAAUUUACUGUUUAAUAUAUUAAUUUAACAGUUACAAAGUAGGUUAUAAAGACCCAUUAUUAAAAAAAAAAACAAAUAAUGAUCAAAAAAUAAAAGCUACUUUAGGGAUAACAGGAUAAUACUUUCUAAGAGCCCUUAUCGAAGAAAGAGUUUAUCACCUCGAUGUUGAAUUGAGAUACCCCAGUGAUGCAGA